CAUGUGUAUGUAUCAGAAAAAUAAUAAUAAUUGUGAGUUCUCUCCUAACCAUUUUUGAUGAAAUUUGUACAAAGCCGCCCAUUAUACAUAUAGGGAUGAAAUAUGUCUGCAGUUGGGUCGUAGUUGAACUAUUAUUAAAGUUAUAUAGCCAAAUUUUUGUGAUGAUUGCAUGGCUAUAGUGCAUGGGCAAAGCCCCUUACUGUUUCUUUAGUAUGGGUAUUUUAUGAAAAAUUUGAGAAAUUUACUGUUAUAAAACCUGUUAACAUGCACUACACCCAUACCCUCUCCUAAUUUAUUGCCUCACAGUUUACGGUUUAACUGUCUACACCAUCUUUCUUUUUGCUACAUCUGUCUCAUUUAUACAUUCAGUUUGUGGCACAUUUAGUUCUCAGAUUUAGACAAGUAUGGAAAAAUGUUUGUCACUGGCUAAUGGCCACUAAUCACUGCAUGAUUUAUUUAUUGAAAUACUAUUUGUUGCUGGUAUAUCCACUCCAAUAAGGUAACUACCAUUAAAUUACUAUUACAUUCUGAGCACAUAAUUAAUAUUACAGUGUACUUAAUUUGAAAUGCUUCUAUAUACCUCCCUCUCUUUGUCCUUUUUGUUUCCUAUAUGUAUAGUAAAUCUCUCAAUGCACCACCAAGCUCAGGAUAUGAUAAGUCUUGCAUUUUAUCAAAUUAAAGACAUCAAGAUCAGCAUGACAUUGUGCAUGUAUAAUAAUCCAUUAAUUUUUAUUUUUGAUUCAUCAUGUUUUAGUAUCAUACU